rnacentral:rRNA from 1 species
CUAUGACGGGUAUCCGGCCUGAGAGGGUGAACGGACACACUGGAACUGAGACACGGUCCAGACUCCUACGGGAGGCAGCAGUAGGGAAUAUUGCUCAAUGGGGGAAACCCUGAAGCAGCAACGCCGCGUGGAGGAUGAAGGUUUUCGGAUUGUAAACUCCUUUUGUUAGAGAAGAUAAUGACGGUAUCUAACGAAUAAGCACCGGCUAACUCCGUGCCAGCAGCCGCGGUAAUACGGAGGGUGCAAGCGUUACUCGGAAUCACUGGGCGUAAAGAGCGCGUAGGCGGGAUAGCAAGUCAGAUGUGAAAUCCUAUGGCUUAACCAUAGAACUGCAUUUGAAACUGUUAUUCUAGAGUAUGGGAGAGGUAGGUGGAAUUCUUGGUGUAGGGGUAAAAUCCGUAGAGAUCAAGAGGAAUACUCAUUGCGAAGGCGA